rnacentral:tRNA from 1 species
GGUUGGGUGUGGUGUAGUGGUUUGAGUAUUGGACUGUGACUCUGGAGACCACGGUUUGAUUCCCUGCUCAGCCA